AACCUCAGUACUGAGGGUCGUGGCCUCCUC
rnacentral:sRNA from 1 species